GGACUACUGGGGUAUCUAAUCCCGUUCGCUCCCCUAGCUGUCGCCCCCGAGCGUCAGGACAAUGCCAGGACAGUGCCUUCGCCUUUGGUGUUCCUCCGGAUAUCUACGCAUUUCACCACUCCACCCGGAAUUCCCUGUCCCUCUCAUUGCCUCAAGUCGGCCAGUUUUCAGACACCCUCCUCUGUUGAGCAGAGGAUUGUCAGUCCAAACUUAACCCACCGCCUGCGGGCCCUUUACGCCCAGUAACUCCGGACAACGCUCGCCCCCUACGUAUUACCGCGGCUGCUGGCAC
rnacentral:rRNA from 1 species